AAUCCAUGAUGUGCACACUUUCUUAAUAUCAAUUUAAAAUGCUUCCAUGUCCCAUACAGAUUCUCUCCUUCAUCUUGCUUAAAGCUUGGGAUCUCACACCUAAGUUG
rfam:Gossypium arboreum cultivar AKA8401 contig_25189_1, whole genome shotgun sequence.